rnacentral:RNase_P_RNA from 1 species
CCAGAUAGCCAGCCAAUCGCCAGCUUCGCUGGAGGAAAGUCCGGGCUACGUAGAGCAGGGUAGUUGCUAACGGCAACCGGAGGCGACUCUAGGGAAAGUGCCACAGAAACGCGUACCGCCCGAUGCUUAGAUUCGGGCAAGGGUGAAACGAGUGAGGUAAGAGCUCACAAUCCCGUCUGGUGACAGGCGGGAGCAGGUAAACCCUACCUGUAGCAAGGAGCAGUCCAGGCUCAAGUUGCUCGCUGCUUGGAUUGCGUUGAACCGCUAGAAAUGACGAGCAAUCGUUAUUGUAGACAGAUGAUUGGCCACGACAGAACCCGGCUUACGGCUAUCUGGCUUA